ACAUUGGUAUUUGUGAGGGGUAGAAACUUGCUCGAACCUUCUUGCAGGUUGACAUUUUGCAAAGAAAAAAAGGAAAAAAAUGAAAUUCAUUUCGAUUGCUGGUGGAGUUUUGGAAAAGCUGUUCCGGGAUAAAUCUGAAACGGCAGAUUUUAUGCAAUUCGUCGUGAACGGAUUUUACCGGGAUGAGGCAUUCGCAGAUCCAGCCCAAUAACUCCCAGUACCGAUGACCUCCGACACCUUCAACUUCAUCAUCGUUGAAAACCUCCGGUAGAGCUGAAGACGAAGAAGAAAAAGAACGGUGUCCUUUAACAAUAUUUUGAGGCAUAGUUCCGGUAUUCCACGACUGCUGCUGAUGGCCAGCACUAUGUUUUCAUCUUUCUGAGGACCGCUCCUGAGUUCACCAACAGCUGCUGCAGCAACUUGUUUUUAUUGACCUUCGGAAGUGCCA